rnacentral:tRNA from 1 species
CAUUAAAUGGCUGAAAGUAAGCAUCGAUCUCUUAAAUCGCUAUAUAUCUUGUAACGAAAGAUUUUAAUGA